AUUAAAAACUAGCCCUUUAUCAUUAAACCAGUGAAUGUGAUUUACCGAUAUCCAGACAAAUCUUAACUCUUUUAUGUACUGAUCCUCCAAGGUUUGAUGUUGAUGGGAUUGAUUUCAACCAAUCGAAAAGUUUUCUAGCCAUAUGGGGAAGCUCAGGAGUUAUGGUUUUGGAAAUGCCUCAAAGAUGGGGAAAGUAUUCAGAAUUUGAGGGAGGGAAACCAGCAGUAACAUGCAAAACAACCAGCGUCGCAGAACAUUACUUUACAAGUCACAAAAGUGUCCAGCUUCUACAGGUGGCUUGGCAUCCAGGCAGCGAAACCGAUUCUCACAUGACACUCCUCACAUCCGACAACCUCCUCAGUACAUAUGAUUUGAGGGAGCCAGAUGUUCCUAUUCACACUGUGACGCUUGGUGACUCCCUGCAGGACCUGACAGAUUCUCCCUCCAAAACCUCGUACAGAGCUGCUCUAGGCGAUGUAGCAGCAUCUUUUGACUUUGGCCCUCCAGUGGAACUCAAAAGAAAGAACCGGUUCCAUUCCACACUUACUAGUCCUGAUGUGGUGUGGCCUGCUUACAUUGUGUUUGGAAAUGGUGAUGUUGUCAUUGCAUACACAGACCUGUCCCCAGACCCUUCAAGCAUCCAGAAGCUGAGUCUCCAGGGGCCUCUAGUGAUGCUCCCUCCUGCCGAGGACAACUAUGGGGUAGAUGCCUGUUCUAUCGCUGUCCUAGGGACGGUUCCCUCGGUGCUAGUGAUUGGGACCAGGGACGGAAAGCUACACCAUUGUCUAGUGAUGCAGUCUAGCCUUGAGGACACCAAUCUUCAGUCAGAGACUCAAUCUGUGAUCUCCACGGAUACCAGCUUGCUGUAUGAGGCCCCGGAUGAUGUCUCCCUCUAUGUUUACGAGAGCGUGGAACUCGAACUUUCCCUCACAACCACCUCCUUGAAAACUGAGGAGUUCAUAGAAGACACCUUUACCUGUCCAAUCAAAAUAAUCAAAGACCCCAUGGCUCCUGACCGAUAUCACUGCAUUCACUCAGCUGGCGUCCACACCAUUGUGUUACCAUGGAUACAAGAAUAUCAAAAGUUUUUUGCAGAUAACGUAGGUGAGAAUGUACCUGAGCAAGAAGACUGCAUUGUGGAGCACCUGAUCUGUACUAAACCACUCCCAUCCAGUCCGGUGGCCCCGGUGCUGGGAUUGGGCCUGGUGAGGGGACUAUCAGUGGAGCCCUCCCUACUGACCUUGACCUGGGACUAUGAACUUGUGUCCCUCCCCCUGUGUCCGAGUAGGUACAGAGACAGUGCUGGACCUUUACACACUGAUGAAGAUCCGACCACAAUCGAAUCACCAUUACGUCGUUUGAGUAGGGAGCCAUUCGAUUUAUACAUUAAGAAAAUUCUGCAACGCAAUGUUACCAACCCAAAGCUGAAAUUUGACAAGAAAACAGAAAUAUCUCAGCAAGAAUGUUUUCAGCUCUUGACACGUGCCACACAAGUUUUCAGAGAAGAGUAUCUUCAGAAGCAAGAACAUGCUCAACAGGAGAUACAGAAAAGGACAAGAAUGCUGAGAAGUCUGAGGGCCCAACAGGAGGGGGAUGUCCGGAGUCUGGAGGAGUCCCGGAAUCGUGUCCGGAACAUGGCAGAGAGUCUUGCCACAAAGUACAGCGACUGUCAAGACAAACAGGAGGAGAUACUCCAGAGAAUUGAAGAGGUAAUGAGAAGAUUACAAGAAAAGAUGCCAAUGAUGUCAGAAGCUGAGAGAGGUAUGAAGCGAGAGCUAGAAACUAUGGAGGAGCAGCUGGAAAUAUACAAAAGAUCUCUAGAUCAGUUGAAGAUCAAACAGGAUUAUCAGAGGAGGCAGAUAUCACAGACUCCUAACAGACAACUCUCAAGUCCAAGUCUUAAGUCAGGUCAACUCAAGCAGCUACGGGAGGUUCUCCAACAAGAGGGCGAUGAUUUAGGCAAUUUAUUGAAAAGAGUCAACUCAUUAAAACUGGAGGCUGGAGUUUGAUAACUAAACAUGUACCAUUGCAGCAAUAGACAUUGUGAAAAUUGUUGACUUGGAGUUGCUUCCCAUGCACUGCAGUUUGGCAGGACCAGAAAAUAAAGACAACUCAGAAAUCUAGUGCAUAUGUAUAUGUAUUUGUUAUAUGUGAUUUUGUUGUUAAAUAAAUAAACAAUACUU
rnacentral:misc_RNA from 1 species